AAAAUCCGUCGACUUUAAAAAUCGUGAGGGUUCAAGUCCCUCUAUCCCCAAAAAAGCCUAUUUGACUCCAAAAAUCUUUAUCCUAUCCCC
rnacentral:tRNA from 1 species